rnacentral:lncRNA from 1 species
ACGCUCCUUACCUGCAGGUAUGAGCGUCACCACACCCACUAACCUCAGCAUCUCGCUGAAAACAUGGGAGAUCAGACAUCCACAUGAACUUGCCCACCAGCCACACUUGCAGACCCAUUCCUGCCUCAAGUUAAUUGAUAUUGACUCUCUAUUUAGGAUGCGGUGGUGAAAUGCUUGAUAUAGAAAUUGAACACAGCAAAAGUUCAGCAUACAAAUGCUAGCCCUAGAAUGGCGUCUUCUCAUCGAGCCCUCAGAUUCAAUUUCCCUGGGACCUGAAGAAUUGGGAGACAAGGAGACAAAAAGCAGGGAAGAUGUGGUUCAUUCCAUAAGGGGUCCAAGUAAUGAGGGAGCUCCGGGAACCCACUGUCCCCAGGUCAGGUGGCCAGUCCCUGAGGAGCCCUCAGGGGAUGCAGACAGCAGCUGAGGACCAGGUCUGAGAGCCCUGCCAUGGCUGGAGGCCACCCACUGGCUCACCUCCCACUGGGACUGAGGCCCAGCCCUGCCACCUCCCGGCCGUGGGGUCCUAGACCUGCCGCAUGGCCUCUCUGAGGCUCGGGUCCUCAUCUAGACACGUGGGUAGGAGUGCCUUCCUUGAGGACUGCUGUGAGGAGUCGAUGCGUCAAUGUUUAUUCCUCAGGGGCUCCCGGAUGGCACUUGACAAGUGGGAGUUGUCACCCGAGUCACUCCUAAAAGGAAGCCUCCAGGUCUUUGGCCUCUCAGGGCUGGGUCAUGGUUCCGGGCUCCUGGUCUUUGAUCCCCUGCUCUAUCACCUCCAGCCCACCUCCCCUGCCUCAGCCUCAUUCAUUCAGAGUGAUGGGGAGUGGCUCUCAUGGCGGCUGCCAAGUCUUCUGUGCAGGCACAGAACCCCUGCUGCCACGGGAACCAUCAGUCUUCUCACCCCCUGCCCUCCCCACAGGAAUCACCCUCUCGCUCUCCGUUUACGGCCUUCACCACAACCCGCAGGUGUGGCCGAACCCAGAGGUAUGAGGAGGGUCCCCGGGAGGAGGGAUGGGAUGCUGUCCCCAGAGCAACACCUCCUCCCGCUCCUUCCUUCUCUGGGAUUCUUGUCCGCUGUGGCUGAGAGGAGUUUGACGCCACUUUCCUGGCCCCUGUGCUCUCUCUGCAGGAGUUUGACCCAUCCCGGUUUGCACCGGGUUCUGCUCGACACAGCCAUGCCUUCAUGCCCUUCUCAGGAGGAUCCAGGAACUGCAUUGGGAAGCAGUUUGCCAUGAACGAGAUGAAGGUG